GACGAACCACACACCCGUUAUUCGGAAUUACUGGGCUUAAAGGGUGCGUAGGCGGCGCGGAAAGUUGGGUGUGAAAUCCCUCGGCUCAACCGAGGAACUGCGCUCAAUACUACCGUGCUCGAGGGAGACAGAGGUGAGCGGAACUUAGGGUGGAGCGGUGAAAUGCGUUGAUAUCCUAAGGAACACCCGUGGCGAAAGCGGCUCACUGGGUCUCGUCUGACGCUGAGGCACGAAAGCUAGGGUAGCGAACGGG
rnacentral:rRNA from 1 species